GAUGAACGCUGGCGGCGUGCUUAACACAUGCAAGUCGAACGAUGAAGCCCAGCUUGCUGGGUGGAUUAGUGGCGAACGGGUGAGUAACACGUGAGUAACCUGCCCUUAACUCUGGGAUAAGCCUGGGAAACUGGGUCUAAUACCGGAUAGGAGCGUCCACCGCAUGGUGGGUGUUGGAAAGAUUUAUCGGUUUUGGAUGGACUCGCGGCCUAUCAGCUUGUUGGUGAGGUAAUGGCUCACCAAGGCGACGACGGGUAGCCGGCCUGAGAGGGUGACCGGCCACACUGGGACUGAGACACGGCCCAGACUCCUACGGGAGGCAGCAGUGGGGAAUAUUGCACAAUGGGCGCAAGCCUGAUGCAGCGACGCCGCGUUAGGGAUGACGGCCUUCGGGUUGUAAACCUCUUUCAGUAGGGAAGAAGCGAAAGUGACGGUACCUGCAGAAGAAGCACCGGCUAACUACGUG
rnacentral:rRNA from 1 species